AAACGCUGAGCCGCAGGCUUAGACAUGCAAGCGAGCGGGGGAGGUUGCUUCGGUAACUGUCCCUAGCGGCGGACGGGUGAGUAAUGCUUAGGAAUCUGCCUAUUAGUGGGGGACAACAUUCCGAAAGGGAUGCUAAUACCGCAUACGUCCUACGGGAGAAAGCAGGGGAUCAUUUGACCUUGCGCUAAUAGAUGAGCCUAAGUCGGAUUAGCUAGUUGGUGGGGUAAAGGCCUACCAAGGCGACGAUCUGUAGCGGGUCUGAGAGGAUGAUCCGCCACACUGGGACUGAGACACGGCCCAGACUCCUACGGGAGGCAGCAGUGGGGAAUAUUGGACAAUGGGGGGAACCCUGAUCCAGCCAUGCCGCGUGUGUGAAGAAGGCCUUUUGGUUGUAAAGCACUUUAAGUGGGGAGGAGGCUUACCUGGUUAAUAAGUGGGCUAAGUGGACCUUACCCACAACAUAAGCACCGGCUAACUCUGUGCCAGCAGCCGCGGUAAUACAGAGGGUGCGAGCGUUAAUCGGAUUUACUGGGCGUAAAGCGCGCGUAGGUGGUUAAUUAAGUCAAAUGUGAAAUCCCCGAGCUUAACUUGGGAAUUGCAUUCCAUACUGGUUAGCUAGAGUAUGGGAGAGGAUGGUAGAAUUCCGGUG
rnacentral:rRNA from 1 species